rnacentral:lncRNA from 1 species
AUAGGAUGAAGAGACUGAAGAAAAACUGGAAAAAGAAAGGAGACUGUGAGUGAGCAGUAAAAUGGAUAAAUAAUUGAUAAUAAAAAGCAGGCUGUUUUCCUCCAGAAGCUGACUAUUACAUGUUGUCUUUGACUCAAUAAAGUUAUUAGUUCUUUUUGUCUUUCUUAAAAAUGUUCUCUUGCUGUUUAAGAAAAUAAAAAAAAAAGCUGAAUAUAUGAAGGUAGGAACUAAUUAUCUUUCUGUAAGCUAAAUUUUUUUUCUUGAAAAUAACAAAAAAACAUUGUCUUUGAGAUGACUUUAAAAGAAAUCAUCAGUGACCUUUUGAAAAUGCAUGUCUAGAUUAGAGUAGGAUUCCAUAGGGACAAUGUAAUAGCUGAUGAUUAAGGUACUUAUCACCAAAUAUGUAUAAUUUUUGCAAAAGGAAAAUACAUUCCUUGUGCCCUCUGAUACAGCAGAACAUUUCUGCAAGCCAAGUAUGAAAGCAAAGCUGUCAAAAUAAAUGCAACAUUGUGCAUUGUGUUCCAGGCACACAUCUCUGCAUUUACAGCUCAAGCAGUGCAUCCACAUUCUGGACAUGUUGGACUUUUCAGCUCUCUAAAGAAUGCUAUGAGAGUGCCCUCGAUACACAAGCUGCCUAGCUGCCCUUGGGAAAGGCUCUCUGUGCAGUUGCUUCAAGCUCUGUGCAAAUGAAGCUGCAGAAGGUACCAGCAACAGGUCUGGGAAGGAUCAGGGGACCCAAGUAUUGUGGCCAUCCCCAGUGUUGCAGGUUUGGGCAAGAGAUACCAGUUGCUUUAGUACAUGAUACUACUUCCCCUAACAGCUUUUGUCUCCAGCUGAAUGAGAACACACACUGUGUCCUGAUGAUCUGCAGGACUUGCCAAGAUUUUAGUGAUUGCUGCGACUCAGGCCUGGAAGAUGGGAUGGCUGGAACAAAUCAGUAACAUGCAGUAAACUGUCAUAUACCAUCUUCAAGAAAAUGACAGAAGCCAGGAGAAUGGGAGCAGAAGCAUCUCAGAAGUAAUAGUACCAAAGAAGAAAAUAUGCUAAACAGCACUGAGCCAACAAUAAAAAUGUGCAGUGACCAAAAGCA